UACGUAGGGUGCAAGCGUUGUCCGGAAUUAUUGGGCGUAAAGAGCUCGUAGGCGGUUUGUCGCGUCUGCUGUGAAAAUCCAGGGCUUAACCCUGGACCUGCAGUGGGUACGGGCAGACUAGAGUGCGGUAGGGGAGAUCGGAAUUCCUGGUGUAGCGGUGAAAUGCGCAGAUAUCAGGAGGAACACCGGUGGCGAAGGCGGAUCUCUGGGCCGUAACUGACGCUGAGGCGCGAAAGCUAGGGGAGCAAACGGG
rnacentral:rRNA from 1 species